rnacentral:rRNA from 1 species
GACGAACGCUGGCGGCUUGCUUAACACAUGCAAGUCGAACGAAGUGGCGAACGGGUGAGUAAUACGUCAGUAACCUGCCCUCCUUUUUCGGAUAAGCCUUUGAAACGGGGUCUAAUACCGAAUAAAGGGGGAUGGGCUCGCGGCCUAUCAGCUUGUUGGUGGGGUGAUGGCCUACCAAGGCGGUGACGGGUAGCCGGCCUGAGAGGGUGACCGGGCACAUUGGGACUGUGAUACGGCCCAGGAUCCUACGGGAGGCAGCAGUGGGGGAUGUUGCACGAGGCAGGUAUGCCUGAUGCAGAGACGGCGCGAUGGUGGUUAAGGCAUUCGAGUUAUAAAUCUAGUUCGCCAUCGUAAGGGUGUGUUGGGAAGAAACUCCGGCUAACUGCGUGCCAGGAGCCGCGAAUAC